AGUGAACGCUGGCGGUAGGCCUAACACAUGCAAGUCGAACGGCAGCACAGGAGAGCUUGCUCUCUGGGUGGCGAGUGGCGGACGGGUGAGGAAUACAUCGGAAUCUACUCUGUCGUGGGGGAUAACGUAGGGAAACUUACGCUAAUACCGCAUACGACCUACGGUUGAAAGCAGGGGACCUUCGGGCCUUGCGUGAGUGAAUGAGCCGAUGUCGGUUUGGCUAGUUGGCGGGGUAAAGGCCCACCAAGGCGACGACCCGUAGCUGGUCUGAGAGGAUGUUCAGCCAAACUGGAACUGAGACACGGUCCAGACUCCUACGGGAGGCAGCAGUGGGGAAUAUUGGACAAUGGGCGCAAGCCUGAUCCAGCCAUACCGCGUGGGUGAAGAAGGCCUUCGGGUUGUAAAGCCCUUUUGUUGGGAAAGAAAUCCAGCUGGCUAAUACCCGGUUGGGAUGACGGCACCCAAAGAAUAAGCACCGGCUAACUUCGUGCCAGCAGCCGCCGUAA
rnacentral:rRNA from 1 species